UACGAAGGGGGCUAGCGUUGCUCGGAAUCACUGGGCGUAAAGGGCGCGUAGGCGGGUCUUUAAGUCAGGGGGGAAAUCCUGGAGCUCAACUCCAGAACUGCCUUUGAUACUGAAGAUCUUGAGUUCGGGAGAGGUGAGUGGAACUGCGAGUGUAGAGGUGAAAUUCGUAGAUAUUCGCAAGAACACCAGUGGCGAAGGCGGCUCACUGGCCCGAUACUGACGCUGAGGCACGAAAGCGUGGGGAGCAAACAGG
rnacentral:rRNA from 1 species